rnacentral:tRNA from 1 species
GACAGCUCAGUCAGUAGAGCAUGUGACUCUUAAUCUUAGGGUUGUGGGUUCGAGCCCCACGUUGGGCA